GAGAACAACUCUCAACAACGGAUAUCUUGGCUCUUGCAACGAUGAAGAACGCAGCGAAAUGCGAUACGUAGUGUGAAUUGCAGAAUUCCGUGAAUCAUCGAAUGUUUGAACGCAAAUUGCGCCCGAGGUUUCGAUCGAGGGCAUGUCUGCUUGAGCGCC
rnacentral:rRNA from 1 species